UAAUGUUUGAUGUUCUAACGUGGACCCGUAAUCCGGGUUGCGGACAGUGUCUGGUGGGUAGUUUGACUGGGGCGGUCUCCUCCUAAAGAGUAACGGAGGAGCACGAAGGUUGGCUAAUCCUGGUCGGACAUCAGGAGGUUAGUGCAAUGGCAUAAGCCAGCUUGACUGCGAGCGUGACGGCGCGAGCAGGUGCGAAAGCAGGUCAUAGUGAUCCGGUGGUUCUGAAUGGAAGGGCCAUCGCUCAACGGAUAAAAGGUACUCCGGGGAUAACAGGCUGAUACCGCCCAAGAGUUCAUAUCGACGGCGGUGUUUGGCACCUCGAUGUCGGCUCAUCACAUCCUGGGGCUGAAGUAGGUCCCAAGGGUAUGGCUGUUCGCCAUUUAAAGUGGUACGCGAGCUGGGUUUAGAACGUCGUGAGACAGUUCGGUCCCUAUCUGCCGUGGGCGCUGGAGAACUGAGGGGGGCUGCUCCUAGUACGAGAGGACCGGAGUGGACGCAUCACUGGUGUUCGGGUUGUCAUGCCAAUGGCACUGCCCGGUAGCUAAAUGCGGAAGAGAUAAGUGCUGAAAGCAUCUAAGCACGAAACUUGCCCCGAGAUGAGUUCUCCCUGAGACUUUAGGUCUCCUGAAGGAACGUUGAAGACGACGACGUUGAUAGGCCGGGUGUGUAAGCGCAGCGAUGCGUUGAGCUAACCGGUACUAAUGAACCGUGAGGCUUAACCUUACAACGCCGAAG
rnacentral:rRNA from 1 species